rnacentral:rRNA from 1 species
UACGUAGGGGGCAAGCGUUGUCCGGAUUUACUGGGCGUAAAGAGCGUGUAGGCGGCCACGCAGGUCCGUUGUGAAAACUGGAGGCUCAACCUUCAGACGUCGACGGAAACCGUGUGGCUAGAGUCCGGAAGAGGAGAGUGGAAUUCCUGGUGUAGCGGUGAAAUGCGCAGAUAUCAGGAAGAACACCAAAGGCGAAGGCAGCGUCCUGGCAAGUCACUGACGCUCAGGUGCGAAAGCUAGGGGAGCGAACGGG